rnacentral:rRNA from 1 species
AUUGAACGCUGGCGGCAGGCCUAACACAUGCAAGUCGAACGAGUGGCGGACUGGUGAGCAAUGUCUUGGAAACUGCCUGACGGAGGGGGAUAACUACUGUAAACGGUAGCUACUACCGCAUAACAUCCGAUGUGCCCAGAUGGGAUUAGGUAGUCGGUGGGGUAACGGCUCACCAAGGCGAAGAUCCCUAGCUGGUCUGAGAGGAUGACCAGCCACACUGGAACUGAGACACGGUCCAGACUCCUACGGGAGGCAGCAGUGGGGAAUAUUGCACAAUGGGCGCAAGCCUGAUGCAGCCAUGCCGCGUGUAUGAAGAAGGCCUUCGGGUUGUAAAGUACUUUCAGCGGGGAGGCGUUACCCGCAGAAGAAGCACCGGCUAACUCCGUGCCAGCAGCCGCGGUAAUAC